GUGAGGUGAUGACAAAGUUUAUCCAUUCUCUGAAUGCAGUGGUGCUGCCCUCCUGCAGCACCCCGAUUCCUGUUCUAGGGUCUGGGUGCUGUG
rfam:Fulmarus glacialis contig84112, whole genome shotgun sequence.